rnacentral:rRNA from 1 species
CAGUGUCUGGUGGGUAGUUUGACUGGGGCGGUCUCCUCCUAAAGAGUAACGGAGGAGCACGAAGGUUGGCUAAUCCUGGUCGGACAUCAGGAGGUUAGUGCAAUGGCAUAAGCCAGCUUGACUGCGAGCGUGACGGCGCGAGCAGGUGCGAAAGCAGGUCAUAGUGAUCCGGUGGUUCUGAAUGGAAGGGCCAUCGCUCAACGGAUAAAAGGUACUCCGGGGAUAACAGGCUGAUACCGCCCAAGAGUUCAUAUCGACGGCGGUGUUUGGCACCUCGAUGUCGGCUCAUCACAUCCUGGGGCUGAAGUAGGUCCCAAGGGUAUGGCUGUUCGCCAUUUAAAGUGGUACGCGAGCUGGGUUUAGAACGUCGUGAGACAGUUCGGUCCCUAUCUGCCGUGGGCGCUGGAGAACUGAGGGGGGCUGCUCCUAGUACGAGAGGACCGGAGUGGACGCAUCACUGGUGUUCGGGUUGUCAUGCCAAUGGCACUGCCCGGUAGCUAAAUGCGGAAGAGAUAAGUGCUGAAAGCAUCUAAGCACGAAACUUGCCCCGAGAUGAGUUCUCCCUGACUCCUUGAGAGUCCUGAAGGAACGUUGAAGACGACGACGUUGAUAGGCCGGGUGUGUAAGCGCAGCGAUGCGUUGAGCUAACCGGUACUAAUGAACCGUGAGGCUUAACCUUACAACGCCGAAG